CCACCUCAGAUCAGACGUGGCAACCCACUGAAUUUCAGCAUAUUAAGAAACUAAUCAGGAUUCCCUCAGUAAUGGCGAGUGAAGAGGGAAGAGCCCAGCCCCAAAUUCCAGCCUGGGUGACAAGCACAGGAAAUGUAGCAUAUGGAAGUCCAUCUCCCGGCACCACCCAUGGAGCCCAACUCCUUGUGAUUGAGGGUCAGCCCAUGGAUGGUGUGACGCCAGUGGCGGCACCUGGCAAGUCAGGAUCAGGUCUUCCUGGAGUUGGAUUGUUUGUGAAUGCAGCCCAAAGUGGGUGGUAAUCUCCAUCUAAGGCUAAACACCAGCAUGAAACUGAUAGCAGGCAAGUACCAUAAGGGAAAGAUGAAAAGAACUUUGAAGAGAGAGUUCAAGAGGGCAUGAAACCAUUUAGAGGUAAAUGGGUGGGGUCUGCAUGGUCCAUCUAGAGGAUUCAACUCAGUGGCUGUGCCGGCCACCCGAGCAAGGCAGAUCCCCCUCCUCUUGUGGGGUGGAGAACCAUCCUCAGAUGUGCAGGCUGCCAUUGGCUGCACUUCCUCCACAAUGCUGCACCGUGACUGGCUCCAGGUUGGCUGGGAAGGCCACAUGGAAGGUGGCUCCCCUCCACAGAGGGGAGUGUUACAGCCUGCGGUAUCAGCCCUCAUCGUGCCCCGGCAUCGUGGGAUAUGACAGCCGCUGCACCCUAUCUCGCUCUUAUGGUGGGGCCCCUGGCUCCUCGUGGGACUGUCAAAUGAGCCGGACUGUCCUCAGUGCAGCCGACCACAUACCGCAGCCAGCUGGUGGGUUCACCUCAAGUGCCUGGGGUCCACAGCUAUGUCGGUAACCCACCCGUCCCAUCUUGAAACAAGGACCAAGGAGUCUAACAGGUGAGCGAGUCCGAGGUUGGGCAUUAAACCCCAUGACACAAUGAAAGUGACAGCUGGCAUGCACUGGCUGAGGUGGGAUCCCCCCGCCCCAUGCGAGGGGUGCAAUGCCAGCCCAUCUCACCCAUCCCGUCAGGGAGGCGGAGCAUGAGCAUACUUUGUGGGUCCCAAAAGAUGGUGAACUAUGCCUGGGUAGGGCAAAGCCAGAUAAAACUUUGGUGGAGGUCUGUAAUGGUUCUGACAUGCAAAUCGGUCAUCCGACCUGGGUAUAGGGGCGAAAGACUAAUCAAACCAUCUAGUAGCUGGUUCCCUCCGAAGUUUCCCUCAGGAUAGCCAGCACUCAGCAGAUGCAGUUUUAUCUGGGAAAGCAAAUGAUUAGAGGUUUUGGGGCUGAAACAAUCUCAACCUAUUUUUAAACUUUAAAUGGGUAAGAAGCCUGACUCGCUGGCUGGAAACUGGGUGUGGAAUGCGAGCGCCCAGUGGGCCACUUUUGGUAAGCAAAACUGGCACUGUGGGUGAACCAAACACCGGGUUAAGGCGCCUGAUGCCGAUGCUCAUCAGAUCCCAGAAAAGAUGUUGGUUGAUAUGGCCAGCAGGACGGUGGCCAUGGAAGUCAGACUCUGCUAAGGAGUGUGUAACAACUCACCUGCCGAAUCAACUAGCCCUGAAAAUGGAUGGCACUGGAGUGUCAGGCCCAUAUCCAGUCAUCGCCAGUGCUAGAAGCCGAGGGGGCUAUCUCUCGAUGAAUAGGAGGGCAGCUGCGGUGGCAAUGAAGCCCAGGGCAAAGGCCCAAGUGGAGCCGCUGUGGAUGCAGAUCUAGGUGGAACUAGCAAAUAUUCAAAUGAGAGCUUUAAAAGCCAAAGUGGAGAAGGGUUCCAUGUGAACAGCAGUUGAAUAUGGGUCAGUCAGUCCUGAGAGAUAGGAGAGCGCUGUUCUGAAGGGACGGGUGAUGGCCUCUGUAACCCUCGGCCAAUCGAAAGGGAGUUGGGUUCAGAUCCCCGAAUCUGGAGCAGCAGAGACGGGCACCUUGUGGUGUCCAGUGCAGUGAUGCAAAUGAUCCUGGAGAAGCUGUCUGGGGCACCUGGGAGUGCACAUUUUUCUUUGUAAAGGGCAGGGUGCCCUUGAAUGAGUUCACCCGAGAGAAGCGUAUCCUGGAAAGUGCAGCUAUUCCGGUGGCAUCAGGUGAGCUCUCACUGGCCUUUGAAAAUCCGGGGGAGAGAGUGCAAGUCUCAUGCCAGGCCAUACCCAUAUCCACAGCAGGUCUCCAAGGUGAACAGCCUCUGGCAUGUCAGAACAAUGUAGGUAAGGGAAGUUGGCAAGCCGGAUCUGUAACUUCGGGAUAAGGAUUGGCUCUAAGUGCUGGGUCAGUCAGGCUCAGGCAUGAAGCAGAGCCGGGUAUGUGCUGCAGCUGGACGAGGCAUUGCCACCUUGCCUCGCUCACCCCUCCCAGGGGGCCAGGGGGACAGGGGCAGUUACUCUGGAUGUGUGCUAGGCCAUUCCUUUGGAUCACCCCGGCUGUGGCAGGCACCGGUCCCAACCAGUGUCCCACAUCAUCUGGCAGCUAGCAGCUGACUUAGAACUGGUGUGGACCAGGGGAAUCCAACUGUUUAAUUAAAACAAAU